UAUUUUUUUUAAAACUUUGAACCAUGAGUUUUUAUUUGUUACUUUAAUUUUUUGUAAAUUAAAUCAUUUGAACGAUUAAAGUUCAAAACUUAUGUACUAGAUUUCUUAGUUAGUUCUUAACCCAACAUAUGAAACUAAAUUCUUCUGUGCAAAUAAAUAAUUGGGUUGUUGAGGGUUAGACUUUUGAAAGAAUAAAAUUUCUAAUUUAAUGUAUGUAUAAUUAAUGGCAUUAUAUUGGGACGAGAUUGUUUUGUGAUUAAGUUAUAUUAAGAAGUGAGCUUAAAAAUUUACAUAUUGGUUGUAAUUUUUUAAUAAGGAUUAAAUAUGUUUUUCGUUUAUUAAGUAUUACACGAUUUUGGUUUUAGUCUCUACUCGAAACUUUGACGACUUUUAGUUCUCAUAAUUUUGAAACUCUUACUAUUGGUCUUUAACAUAGGACGUUAACUUUUGUUAGAUGUGGCAAAUGGGAGGCCACGUCCUAUACCAGCUUCCCUCUUCACUUGCUGUCAUAUUGAUUGUUUAAGUUUUGAAAUGAGAUUGAGUAUGUUAAGUGUGUGCAUUUUAAGAAGUUGGGUUCUUCUUCGCCAAUGUAGUUGGGGGCAAAGAAAGUUGGGGAGGUACAUCUAAAGGUUGGAGUUCGUCUUCUUGAGGAGGUAAAUUGAUAUGUUUUGUUUUUCUAUUCUUCGUGUGAAUAUAAGGAUUGAGGAUAUAGGAUUGGGUGGACACGAAAGCUGAUGAAGGGAUUUCUUUGUUGUAGUGAAAUGAAAGGUGACAGUGGAGGAAAUGAUUGGAUGUAAAGGUCAAUUGGUUCGAGAAAGUCGCAAAGUUGUGGAUCAUCUUCAUGGUUACCAUCUAAAUUGUGUGGUUGUGGUGAAACAUUGUUACUUUUGAAGGCAACUAUUGUGACGAACAAAGGAAGACUGUUUUAUAGAUAGUAAUUCAAGUUGUAAUUACUUUGAAUGGCAUGAUGAAGGAGUUUCUGAAAUUGAAGGAAGCUUUGAAAAAAAACAUGAAGAACUUGAAAUGUGUUUGGAAAAUGAAAAACUUGUACUGGAUCUAAGGAAGAAGAACGACAAGCU